GAUCGCUUUGGUGGCCUAGUGGUUAGAGCGUCCGACUUCGAUGCCGGAGGUCGUGGGUUCGAUCCCCAGUUCGAUCA